rnacentral:rRNA from 1 species
UAGCAUAUCAAUAAGCGGAGGAAAAGAAACUAACAAGGAUUCCCCUAGUAACUGCGAGUGAAGCGGGAAAAGCUCAAAUUUAAAAUCUGGCGGCCUCCAAGCCGUCCGAGUUGUAAUUUAGAGAAGCGUUUUCCGCGCCGGACCGUGUACAAGUCUCCUGGAACGGAGCGUCGUAGAGGGUGAGAAUCCCGUCUUUGACACGGACAACCGGGGCUAUGUGAUACGCUCUCGAAGAGUCGAGUUGUUUGGGAAUGCAGCUCAAAAUGGGUGGUGAACUCCAUCUAAAGCUAAAUAUUGGCGAGAGACCGAUAGCGAACAAGUACCGUGAGGGAAAGAUGAAAAGCACUUUGGAAAGAGAGUGAAACAGUACGUGAAAUUGCUGAAAGGGAAACGCUUGAAGUCAGUCGCGUCCUUCGGAAUUCAGCCCCCGUGGUGUACUUUCCGUCGGACGGGCCAGCAUCACUUUUGACCGCCGGAGAAAGGCGGGGGGAACGUGGCACCCUUCGGGGUGUGUUAUAGCCCCUCGUCGUAUACGGUGGUCGGGAGUGAGGACCGCCUUUUGCAGGAUGCUGGCGUAAUGGCUUUAAACGACCCGUCUUGAAACACGGACCAAGGAGUCUAACAUGCCCGCGAGUGUUCGGGUGGUAAACCCGUGCGCGUAAUGAAAGUGAAAGUUGGGAAGGCUGUCGCGGCCUGCACCGACGCCCGGACCUGAGAUUCAUCGACGGUUCUGCGGUAGAGCGUGUAUGUUGGGACCCGAAAGAUGGUGAACUAUGCCUGAAUAGGGUGAAGCCAGAGGAAACUCUGGUGGAGGCUCGUAGCGAUUCUGACGUGCAAAUCGAUCGUCAAAUUUGGGUAUAGGGGCGAAAGACUAAUC